AUGUAUUGUGGCAAGUCUCGUGAUGCAACAAUUGUGCUAGAGGCCGUAGCAUCCGAGGAUUUAUGGAUUUGGCAUUGCUUUUUUGGUAUGCCGGGCACUCUCAAUGAUAUCAAUGUGUUGCAAUGGUCUCAUUUGUUUGCUAGGCUUGCUAGUGGUGAUGCUCCUGCUUGCAACUACACUGUCAAUGGGCAUGAAUACACAAAGGGGUACUAUCUUGCAGAUGGUAUAUACCCUCCUUGGUGCACAUUUGUCAAGAGCAUCAAAGAACCCAAAACAAAAAAACAAUAUGAAUUUGCAAGGGUGCAAGAGGCAGACCAAAAAGACAUUGAAAGAGCAUUCAGUGUUUUGCAAUCAAGGUUUGCCAUUGUCCGUGGUCCUGCUCGUUUUUGGGAUAAGAAAAUCUUGAAGAACAUCAUGACAUGUUGUGUUAUCCUGCACAAUAUGAUUCUUGAAGAUGAGAGAGGAAUGAACUUAGAAUUCUUUUACGAUAAUGUGGGUAGCCGUGUCAAACCAGCCAGAGACCCAAACCGCAUUAGAGCUUUUCUUCAGACAUACAAGGAGAUUGAAAAUGCAGACACGCACUUUCAACUUCAGGAGGAUCUCAUUGAGCACCAUUGGCAAAGGGCUGGACAGUGA
rnacentral:rRNA from 1 species